GUUGUAAGGUUAAGCGACCAAGCGUGCACGGUGGAUGCCCAGGCAGUCAGAGGGGAUGAAGCGCCGUAAGGUAAUAUAAACCGUUAUAGCCAGCGACACCCGAAUGAAAAAGCCCAGUGUGAUACGUCACACUAUCGUUAAGUGAAUACAUAGCUUGACGAAGCAAACCGGGAGAACUAAAACAUCUAAGUACUCCGAUAAGUACUCCGAGGAAAAAAAUCAAUCGAGAUCCCCCCAGUAACGGCGAGCAAACGGGGGUCAGCCCAGAACCCAAAUCGCGUCUGGAAAGUCGCGCAGUAAAGUAAAGGGUAAUAGCGCCGUACACAAAAAUGCACUCGCUGUAAGUUCGAUAAGCAGGGUAGGAGACGUGACAUCCUGUCUGAAUACGGGGGCCAUGCUCCAAGGCUAAAUACUCCUGACUGACCGAUAGUAAACCAGUACCGUGAGGGAAAGGCAAAAAGAACCGGGGCGAGGGGAGCGAAAAAAACCUGAAACCGUGUACGUACAAGCAGUGGGAGCACCGCUAAGGUGCGACUGCGUACCUUUUGUAUAAUGGGUCAGCGACUUAUAUUUUUUAGCAAGGUUAACCGGAUAGGGGAGCCGUAGGGAAACCGAGUCCUAACUGGGCUAAAAGUUGCAAGGUAUAGACCGGAAACGCGAUGAUCUAGGCACGGGCAAGUUAAAGGUCAGGUAACGCCACCUCGAAGACCGAACCGACUAAUGUUGAAAAAUUAGCGGAUGGCCUGCGGCUGGGGGUAAAGGGUCAAUCAAAUCGGGAGAUAGCUAGUUCUCCCCGAAAGCUAUUUAGGUAGCGCCUCGUAAAUUCAUCUUUGGGGGUGGAGCACUGUUUCGGCUAGGGGCCAUGCCGGCUUACCAACCCGAUGCAAACUGCGAAUAGCGAAGCAUGUUAUCACGGGAGACACACGGCGGGUACUAACGUCCAUCGUAAAGAGGGAAACCACCCAGGCAGCCAGGAUGCUGGCUUACAGGAUGCUGGCUUAAAAGCAGCCAUCAUUGAAAGAAAGCGUAAAAGGGUAAUAGCUCACUGGUUGAGUCAGCCUGCGCGGAAGAUGUAACGGGGCUAAACCAUGCACCGAAGCUGCGGCAGCGGCGCUGAUGCCUUGUUUAGGUAGGGGAGCGUUCUGUAAGCUGUUGAAGGUGUCCUGUGAGGGACGCUGAAAGUAUCAGAAGUGCGAAUGCUGACAUAAAUAGCGAUAAAGCGGGUGAAAAACCCGCGCUCCGGAAGACCAAGGGUUCCUAUCCAACGUUAAUCAGGUCAGGGCAAGUCGACCCCUAAGGUGAGGCUAAAAAGCGUAGUCGAUAGGCAACAGGUUAGUAUUACUGUACUGGAUGCGACUGCAAAGAUAGGACGAAAAAAGACAGGCAAGCCGGGCGACGGUCGUCCGGUUUAAGCGUGCAGGGGCAGUUUUAGGUAAAUCCGGAACGCCACACAUAAACCCUGAGGCGUGAUGAUGAUGCACAAAGGUGCAGAAGCUGUUGAUGCCCUGCUUCCAGGAAAAGCCUCUAGCAUCAGGUCACCUUUAAUCGUACCCCAAACCGACACAGGCAAUCAGGUAAAGAAUACCGAGGCGCCUUAGAGAACUCAGGUGAGGGAGAUAGGCAAAAUGGUGCCGUAACUUCGGGAGAAGGCACGCUGGCAUGUGGGUGAAUUCCGUAUCGGAGGGAGCUAAAGCGAGUCGCAGAGACCAGCGGACUGCAACUGUUUAAUAAAAACACAGCACUGUGCCAGCACAAAAGUGAACGUAUAUAGUGUGACUCCCGCCCGGUGCUGAAAGGUUAGCUGAUGGGCGUAGCUGCAAGGCAAAGCUCUUGAUAGAAGCCCCAGUAAACGGCCGCCGUAACUAUAAGGGGGUCCUAAGGUGGCGAAAUUCCUUGCCGGGUAAGUUCCGACCCGCAGGAGUGGCGUAAUGACGGCCCGGCUGUCUCAACCCGAGACUCAGUGAAACUGAACUCGCUGUGAAGAUGCAGUGUACCCCUGGCAAGAAAGAAAGACCCCGUAAACCUUUACUAUAGCUUGACACCGAACAUGGAGCCUUGAUGUGUAGGAUAGCUGAGAGGCAGUGAAUCGUAGACGCCAGUCUGGGAGGGGCCACCCGUGAAAUACCACGCUUUAAUGUUUGAUGUUCUAACUUUGCCCCGUGAUCCGGGGCGAGCACAGUGUGCUGUGCGGGUAGUUUGACUGGGGCUGUCUCCUCCCAAAGAGUAAGGGAGAGGCGCGAAAGUCAGCUAAUCACGGUCGGACAUCGUAAGUUUAGUGCAAAGGCAUAAGCUGGCUUGACUGCGCGAGUGAUGGCUCGAGCAGGUACGAAAGUAGGUCUUAGUGAUCCGGUGGUUCUGAAUGAAAGGACCAUCGCUCAACGCAUAAAAGGUACUCCGGGGAUAACAGGCUGAUACCGACCAAAAGUUCAUAUACCGACCAAAAGUUCAUAUCGACGGCAGUGCUUGGCACCUCGAUGUCGGCUCAUCACAUCCUGGGGCUUAAGCCGGUCCCAAGGGUAUGGCCGUUCGCCAUUUAAAGUGGUACGCAAGCUGGGUUUAGAACGUCGUGAGACAGUUCGGUUCACAUCUGCCGUGGGCGUAGGAAAAUUAAGAGGGAUUGCUCCUAGUACGAGAGGACCAGAGUGAACGCACCGCUGGUGUUCGGGCUGUCAUGACAGUGGCAUUGCCCGGUAGCUAAGUACGGAACAGAUAAGCGCUAAAAGCAUCUAAGCGCGAAACAAGCCUCGAGAUGAAUCCUCCCUGGGUCUGAAAGGUCCCUGAAAGCACGCUUAAGACAAAGACGUGAACGUGAAUAGGCUGGGUAUGUAAGAGCAGCUAUGCUCUGAGCUAACCAGUACUAAUGAGCCGCGAGGCCUAACCUUACAACACCGAAGGUGU
rnacentral:rRNA from 1 species